UGACCAUAAAAUUAAUAAAGACACUCAUUAAAAUUGUUAUUCAUCUUUUCCAGCACAAGCUGUUCCUCAAAGGUAUCUAUUUUCAGUUUCUAAUUUCACCUUUAAAACCUAAAACCAUAUUAUGUUUCUACGAAGCACUCUUUUUUUAGUCAAACUCUAUCUAUUUCUUUACUUUUUAACAGCAGAAGCAAAAGUAAAAGUCUGGUCAAACAAAAAGUAUGUGCAUUUUAAACCUGUAAUGUUUUACUUUAAAAGAAACCAUGAUUGGUGUAGAAACUUUUCAGCAUUCACUAUUUAUUUGGCUUUUAUUAUUUGGAAUAAAAAUUAUAGUAUAUAUAAGCACCAAAGGG
rnacentral:lncRNA from 1 species